rnacentral:rRNA from 1 species
CAAAGAGACCGCGAAACCGUUGGGAGGGAAACGAACGUGGCCAUGAAGACUCCCUUCAGGUUCAGGGAGCCUCGGUUUGGGCGUUUGCUUGGUUGGGGACCCGCUGUCGGGACCCGCCGWCGCAAGUCCUUCCAGGCUUCUGCAAUCCCGUCUGGAGUCCGCCAACGGCGGCCGUUUGCGGUCGAGGAGGGUCGUGGGGCAGGUGCCUCCUCGCCGGACCCUCGCGGGUUUGGGGAGGAGAGCUUACAGCCUUCGGCUUGGUCGAUCGGGGACGGCCGAGGAGCGUUGCGACCAGUCGCACGGCGUAGCGCAGGCUCCGCAGGGGCCGGGUCGCUUCUGGACUUGCGUGCCUCGCGGCGAGCCACUGCCCGCAGUGACAGCCGACGGUAGGUGCGCUUGUGCGGGAGGCGGACCACGAUUUGCGCUUCGGUCGUUGGUGUGUGUAUGGCUCCGUCCGA